CAUCUUGGUCUUUCUUCCUGUUUAUGUGCGAACAACCUGGAGAUUUGCAGAGUGGUUGGUGCUGUGACUCCAUUGUGUAAAGUAGUAGACACUCUUGGAGUUGAUGUCCUGGGAUUUUGGCGCCAGACGUCGACCACUGUGUUCUCAGUUGCAUAGCAAGGUAGACGACAGUGUGUUGAGUUGUGCAGUCUCCGGGGAGUUCCACGUGGGGUUGGUGAAACUUGUGAAAAAUGUAAGUGUACUUUGCGAGUAUA